rnacentral:rRNA from 1 species
AGUGCCUGGUGGGUAGUUUGACUGGGGCGGUCUCCUCCCAAAGAGUAACGGAGGAGCACGAAGGUGGGCUAAUCACGGUUGGACAUCGUGAGGUUAGUGCAAUGGCAUAAGCCCGCUUGACUGCGAGAAUGACAAUUCGAGCAGGUGCGAAAGCAGGUCAUAGUGAUCCGGUGGUUCUGAAUGGAAGGGCCAUCGCUCAACGGAUAAAAGGUACUCCGGGGAUAACAGGCUGAUACCGCCCAAGAGUUCAUAUCGACGGCGGUGUUUGGCACCUCGAUGUCGGCUCAUCACAUCCUGGGGCUGAAGUCGGUCCCAAGGGUAUGGCUGUUCGCCAUUUAAAGUGGUACGCGAGCUGGGUUUAGAACGUCGUGAGACAGUUCGGUCCCUAUCUGCCGUGGGCGUUGGAAGAUUGAAGGGGGCUGCUCCUAGUACGAGAGGACCGGAGUGGACGAACCUCUGGUGUUCGGGUUGUGUCGCCAGACGCAUUGCCCGGUAGCUAAGUUCGGAAUCGAUAACCGCUGAAAGCAUCUAAGCGGGAAGCGAGCCCUGAGAUGAGUCUUCCCUGAUACUUUAAGUAUCCUAAAGGGUUGUCGGAGACUACGACGUUGAUAGGUCAGGUGUGUAAGUGCUGUGAGGCAUUGAGCUAACUGAUACUAAUUGCCCGUGAGGCUUAACCAU